rnacentral:lncRNA from 1 species
CUCCGUCUCCUCUUCUCUCCUCUCUCUCCUCUCUCUCUCUCUCUCUCCUCUCUUCUCGUCCUUCUCAUCUCUCUCUCUCCUCUCUCUCUAUAUAUAUAUAUAUAUAUUAUAUAUAUAUAUAAUAUAUAUAAUAUAAUAUAUAUAAAUAUAAUAUUAUAUAUAUAUAAAUAUAUAUUAUAUAUAUAUAUAUAUAUAUUAAUAAUAUAUAUAAACUUAUCUACUAUAUUUGAGAGGGAAAACAAUAAAUUGUUGCACAUUUCUAUAAAGGUUUGAAGUAUCUCUUUAUACUCGCUUUUAUUGAAUUUAUUAUCACUUAUUAAAAAAAUAACAAACUAAUAAUUACUUCUAAUAACAAUUAAUAAACUAGCCAUAAGCUGAUUAGUUUGAUUAAUUUAAGAUAAGACAACUAAUUAAUCUAAAGUAUCUACAUGAAAUAAUUAGAUUUUAACUUUUUACAUAUUUAUUAUAAGAGUUUAAUUGAAAUACACUUUAUACCGUCAGUUAAUAAUAGACAUUGAAUAUUGAAAUAAGUUAGACAUUUAUUUUAAAAACUUAUAAAAUAAUAUAAAUGGGUGAUAAUGAUGAAUUGAUAGUGUAAAACUUUUUACGCUAUAUAGUAAUUAAUCUCUUAUUAUAAUACUUAAUUAUGUUGACAUGUCAAACUAAACAUCUUUACACUUUUAAUAAUUCUUUGUGGAAAUCAGAUUAAAUAAAUCUAACCGUUGAAUUAUCUAAUUUUAAAUAAUUUAUUACAUAUUAAAACACAUUGAUGUGAUUAAAUAUUAAAUAAUUUUUGAAUUGUAUAAAACUAUGUAGAUUUGAUCUAUUUAUAAGGUAAGAUUGAUUUAAUUUUUACAAAACUUAUAAUAUAUUAUUUUAAUUUAUGAAAUAAAUAAAAUUGAAAAACAAUAAUAGAAAAAUAUUUCAUCUAUCUCAUAAAAAAUAUUUUAUUUCUAUUUUUUUAAAUUGUACUAUAUAGUUUAAUAAAAUAUUUUUUAUGAAAUGGGAGAGGAAUAAUUGAUAAACAAUGUUAUCAAAAACAAAACACCGUAUACAACUUAUUGAUAAGUGCUAAAUGAAAAGGUAUACGGAUACCUCUGACUCUGGCACAUGGCUUUAUGUACAUUCAUUGACAACGUGUGGUACAAUCGUGUGUACAUGUACAUUCACCAUUACUCAUGUGGUCACCAAUGUGUCUCACCCACACCAUUUACAUCAUCAAAAUAAAUUCUGUUUGGCUACUACCACUUCCAUUAUCCAUAAUAUCCAAAUGUGUACGAAACUCAUUAAUUUCAACGUGUUUUCUACCCUAUAACGCGGGACCUUAAUCCCUUACCAUUUAUUCCUACACAUACAUGUACAUAUAUUUAUAGAAGGAAUAUCCGAAGUUUGUGUUGUGAUGGAAUUACCAUUUACUCGGACAUUUCAGUUGCAUAUUUGUAUAUCUAUAUAUCGACUAGAAUCUCUUUUAUAAUGAACAAGAGGUCAUUUCUCUACUUGCACUAACUUCAAAUACAUUGGAUCUUGAGUUUAGGUAGAUGUUGUAUGGUUUGUAUAAGUUGUGGUAUUAGAUAGUGUGUCUAUUGCUAUUGUUUAAUGACUUGUAAUUAAGACGGUUCAAAAAUAUCUCUGAAUUGAAAGUUAAAAUAAACGAAUUAUUAUGUUUGGUUAGUUAAUAGGUAUUUUUUAACAGUUUGGUACGGUUUAGAAUUCUAAAAUGAUAUAUUAAAUCAAUAAUUUUGAUUCGGUUCAAUUUUAGAUAAAUUGAAGCAAUUUGGUUUGGUUCAAAUGACUUGUUCGAUAGAUUUUUUGACUGAACUAUACCAUGAACAUUCCUUAUGAUAACACACUAUUGAUGAUUUUACAUGUAUUUAAUAUUUGUUACCUUUAUUUGAUUAUAUUCUUAAAAAUGAUUGUUCACCUAGUUACGGAGUAUUUCCCAAUCCGAAUAGAUGCAACCACUUGUCUAACCACAAGGUCGUUUUCAUUCUUAUUCUUUGGGGUCACUUAGGAGUUGUCUCUCCUAGUGAUUCUCUAUUUAGCUACGAACUCAUGAAUGCAUGUGAUCUUUCUAAUCUUGUUGAGCAUAUCAGUCUUGCUUCACUCUAUCGACACACAAAAAUUCAAUUAUUUUAGCACAUGAGUUAGUCAUUUUGUUGGUUUAUAGAAAAAUAUGGGUCACCCAUAGGUGUGCCUUAACUUCUUCACUAAUACUACUACAAAGUCUUUGUAGAAACUGUGUUUAAAUACAGAGCAUGCGAUGUGGGCAAGAAAUAUCAAAUUAAUUAAAGUUAGAGGGAAAAAAUAUGCCUCGUGUAGGAUUUUUUUUUGGGGGGGGGGGAUAUGAUGAAGGUGAGAAUGCUUCUGACACUCUUCGUACUUCUUGACGAACUCCACAAUAUCCUUCAUCAUGGUCAGAUAGUAGCGACUAAAUUUUAAUAGCUUAUGAGUGACAAAUCUUUCACUUUCAGGCUCUUUUUAGGGAUCAGGAUCAACAAAGUUUACCAUAUGACUAUCUGGUCAGGGCGAGGCGCAAACGACCACUGCGGCUCUCCUAAUUCUUAAGAAUAUCAUGGUAACACUUGCAAGAGGUUUCUUGAUCCUCUUGCAUCACACCGAUACACACAUUUGGCAAUAGAUACUUCAUGCUCAAAUAGAGCGUUGAUAGGGAGGCCCCUAGGAGAUUAAGAGCAUGUAGUUUGGUGAUUAUGUUGUAUGAAGAUGGGGUAUCUACUAUGAGAUAUCUGACUUUUAUCAUUUUGGCGUUCUCCCUUAGUAUGAAUAGUGUCUGGAGAGUAGUAUAGCCUUUCACUUAGACAUGUUCUCUAGAGAAGUCGACUAAGGAACCUUUGAAUGAUUCAAGGUUGUACGGAUUUAAUCUUAGCCUUUCAAAGGUGUUCCAACAUAGGAUAUCACCUGAACUUUCUAGACCUAUCAAUACUCGCUUGAUCUUACGGUCAUUACAUUUCAUAUUUAUAACCAUGUGACCAUUUUCUUGAGGGAGGAGCUCAGAUGCGUCUUUACGGGAGAAGGUGGGUAUGAAUCAUCCUUUGGGCCUGACUUAGGCUAGGUGGGCAAAAUUUAUACCGUUAUGAUUUGGCGAGCAUACCUUCUACGGGAGGAGCUAGAUUCUCCGUCCUAGGUAAGCCCUCUCAUUAUGGUAUAUAGAGUAUGGAAGACUAACAUGUCAUCCUCUCUUCUCUCAGGGUCUUUGUAUUUUCUAGAUCAAGGGCUUCUGGGUUUAACUCGCCCCUAAGUUCUAGGCAUGCCUCCUUCUUACUAGAGCUUGUGAUAGCAAUUAUUCAUGUGGUGACCCUUCAUCUUGUGGUAUUUGAAACACUUAUGGUGUUUGGGCACUAUGGUCUCCAACUUGAGAGUUUGUGGAAGUGGGAUGUCGUGGAUGUUGAUAACUUCAUGCUAGAUCUGCUCUCGAGGAUUGUUGAGUGCAACAACUGAAUCCCAAAAUGUAUAUAAAAGAAUCAUAUGUCAAUUAAAGUGCUACCUCAACGUAACACUUAAACAGUUAUUCAAAUAGCAGUGGAAAUAAUUAUGAAAAUACUCUUCAAAACAACAUGUUUGUUUUCCAAAUAAAAACGAAAAUCAUUGAUUCCUCAAGAUCAUAACAAAAGUCUCCAUAAUAAUUAAAACAAGCAUUCACAACCCUGAUGUUACAUAAUCAAAGCAUAACCUACUAAGGUAAACAACGAAACUAAGUGUAAAUAAACUCCAAUUAGCUAAUCUUCCACUCACAACAACAACGCAUAAUCUUGGAUAUCUGCAAGAUGCUCGUAAAGCAAAGGGGGUGAGAGCUCACAUCAAUAAUGUAAACGACAUAAACUGCAAGGUAGAAUUACAAACAUAUACACAAUCAAUCACAAACACACCACAUCACCUUACAUCCAUAUUCUCACGCCUAAAAAAACACCAUACACAAUCAUAAUUACGCAUACAACUUAUUUAUGCAAUACGACUCAACUAUGCAACUCGAUGCAUAUGUAUGUGGUACCAAUUCAACAAUUUGGUUCUCUUAGGAACUGAGUCCCCUCUUUGAAUCCAUGAGCCCCCUCUUUAAGCUUGGGACAAGCCACCAAUCCCCUCUCUAAACUAGCGAACAUGCCUCCUUACACAACUCAAUGAUGCAUGCUCAUAUACCUAUUGUAUAACAAAAUCAAUGCAUUAAUACCCCUUUCUAGUCCUAACAAGAUUCACUAACAACUCAAGUAAUCCCCUCUCUGGAUUACCACACCACAAUAAUUCACAUAUGCACAACAUAGUAUAACUUGGUGCAACUCAAACAUAUAAUGAUUCUCUUCAUUCAUAUUCUUAUCUCAUACAUACAACAACACUAACAUCUCAAAAUAUCAUGGCAACAUGGCAACAUCACAACUCAUAACUCAUACUUGACACAACAUCAAAACUCUCAUCAAUAUCCAAUUUCUCAAUUAAAAUGUUUUUAAUUAUUACUUCACCUUAUCUCAGCAUAAACAGAGCCUAAGAGUGCCUAAAAAUCCACAAAAGUCGAAAUUCAAAAUCUGCAACUUAAUAUCACAAAAAUAAGUAUUCCCGCAUACUUAAGGCUCAUGGCGGGUAACUCGUCAUGGGAAUGGCGCUCGUCAUGGACAUCACAACACACACAUGUCACCUGUGUGACAACCGACCCCCAAAAUUGAGCCUGGGAUUCAUGACGGGUUAUCCACCAUGACCAUGGCGCCCGCCAUCCACCUGCAGAAUGCAUAAUUUCACUUCUACUAUGGAGUUCACAUCUGGACUCCGAUUUUCAAUUCCAAGUACUCAAAUUGAUCAGAAAACAACAGAGAAUCAACAUAUUAACAUCACUCAACCUAUAUCUAUCAAUUAGCAAGCAUGAUCAUCAAUUAUUCAAGACUUUAUCAUGAUUCUAAAAACCUUCAAAACUAACCAAUGGUGAAAACAUAUUAACACAUCAAAACAUAAAUUAUCCCACACACAUGUACACGAUUUUUAUCAUGAAAAACAUAUUACAACACCAAUUGAUUACCAAAUUCCAGAUUCACAUAUGAACACAAUAAAACAUGCAUAACCAUACAAGCCUAUUGGAGGUUAAGGACUCCUUAAUUUGGGAGGCUAGUUGUCUUAUAACGAGAUCUACGAAAAAAAAUCUACUUUAGGGGAAGCCUUCAUGCUAGGCACGCAAGGAGUGGACCUUGGGGACUAAUACUACACAACUUCGAAUUCUAAAUUAUAUGUUCUCUCUUCUUUUUUCAGAUCUCAGAUAUAAAGCUCUAUUCAUGAUAUCAUUCUAAGAUCCCACAGAAAAACAAAAUGAUAAACAUAUAAUGAAAAAGAGAAGGAGAAAAAAAAGUAAAUAAGAAAAACAUAUAGAAAUGAAGAGAGAACACAUAAAGAAAACAAAUAAGAAAAGCCAACAAUCAUCACAAAGUUAACUAAAUUAGGCUUGAAUCUCUCUUGCAUGGAGCUUAUCCCCAACAGAGUUGCCAUCUGUUGUACCUCGAAAAAUACGAUCCUUUGUGAAGCGCAUCAUACGCUCGCAGAAAAAUAUGUUCGAAUAGAGUCGCCACUGAACUUUAUUUAUUCUAAUUAAGGAAAAGGAAAAUAUCGAUAAAACCUUUGAAAAGAACAUGGUCGUCGCAACCAUAUUUGGGUUAUGUCUAAACUCAAGGUCAAGGAACUACACGAUAACUGAACCGAAACCUCCAUACACUUCUAUCCAAGCUAUAGUUAUAAGUAUAAAAACAAGCAUGUGGCCACUGUAUUGGAGGUCAUUGUAGUGGUUUUCAUGGAUGAGAGUGUUUGGAUGGUUGUGAUAUUGUUGUGGAAGUGUGGCUUUUUAAAGUUGUAGGUUUUGUGUCGUUUAUGAGGAGGGAAGAAAUAAUUGGUUUAUAGUGGAAGAGGUUGGGAGAAACAAAUUUUAUGGUGUGGUAAUUUCUUCAGCUUCACAUGUAAGGGAGUGGAUAUGGUGUAUGAGAUUGUAAAUAUGUUGGUGAAGUUUUUGAAGAGUGAGUAUUUGAAAGUUUCAUAUGGUUUUGAGUUAUAAUGUAUUUUGUGAAGAAAACAUGAAAUUUUUUUUAUGUAAUGGAGAUUAUUGUAUGAUGUAGCAAUGGAGAGAGAUGAGGAUAUGGAUGAGUGAGGUUAUGAUUUGAGAAAAAUAAAAUUCAUGUGAACUUGUUGUAAGUAUGUGGUUGAUUUGUUUCUUUUUUUGCUUACAUCAUCAGCGUGAAUGGACCAUGAGGGUGAGGAAAAUGAGAUUCAACAAGGACUUGUGAGAAGAUGGUUUUAUGAAGUGAAGAUUGUUGAGUGUUUAUGGCUGAAUGCAGGGCCGACCCUGUGCAUGUGCAUCAUGUGCUGCAGCGCAGGGCCUCCAAAUAUUAGAGGGCCUAAAAUUUUGAUUUUUUUUUCAUAAAUAUUAAUAAAAAUAAAUAAAAUGUAGUUAAAACAACUCAAUAAUCGAAAGAAAUGUUAUGAUAAAAACUCAAUACAUACAAAAAUCAAGAUUGAUCAAAACUUAAAAUAAUUAUAAUUAAAUUUAUUUUUAAUUUAUAUAUAAAUGUAUUUUUAAUAUUUUUUUUAAUUAUUAUAAUUAUGUUUUUAAAAAAAUGGACCCAUUUGUGUAAUUAGAACAGGGUCUCCGAUAUAAUUGGGCCGACCCUUGAUGAAUGAAAUGUGGAGUACUUUUUUUAGUGUUAAAGUUUGCAUCUUUCACUGUUGUGAAUUUUGAAGAACAUGGGACUGAUCAUGAUAAAGAAGAAGAUAAACCUUACACUCUUCGUUUCGUUCUGGCUCUUCCACCGAAUGAAUUAAUGAAUGGAUAUUUAAUACAUCAAGAUAUUUGAUUUUGAAAACUGAGAGUGUAUGUUCCAAUGGUAGGGUGGCAGCUGAUAUGUUGUCCCCCUUUUUCCUAUGCAAUACGUGUCAUAUAUAGCCCCAAAAUUAGCUUCAAAUGUUGACAUAAAUUCGCACAAUUCCCCUUAUACACUCUUAGAUGGUUCAAAACGAGUUUAAAAUUAAAAUGAAAUAAAAAAUAUGAACUUAUUCUAUAAAAAUAAAAAUAAAAACAAACUAAAUAUUAAUAAUUCUAUUUAUCUUUUAUGAUUAUUUUGACUAAAAAAAGGAAUAAAAAUAAAUAAAUAACGGGGGCAAAAGUGUUCGGAAAAUUAAAAUGAAUGUAAUGAAAUGAUCAAUGCGACAUAUACUUCUCGGAAACUUACAGAUUUUGAUCAAAUUUUGAAAUAAAAAAUGAUCGGCUAAAAAACUUAGGCUGAUCAAAAUAUGACCGAAAAAAUAAAAUGAGUGUGUCAGGUUGAACUACGCGAACCGUAGAUUAAUAAAUUUGACGUUUGCAAGCUCGAGUUCAAAAAAAUUCUAAUGCAGUAGACAUACGUUGAAGGAGGAUCUUGACAGUCAUUAUAAUUUUUUUUAUAGGCACUCACAAUUGAUGGAUGUCUGUCUGAGAUCAAACAUAAGUUAGGCUGAGGAGCAACGUACAAUCAUAUAUUUUUUAGGAAAAAACUCCAUCCCCCAAUAGUUUCCCCUUCAACUAGUGCAAAGGCGAUUGGAAAAUGUUGUUGUUUCCAUCUUGUGCCAUUGCCAUCAGUAGCGUUCCUUUAUAUUUCCCGUACAGUCAUGUACCAUAAAUUUGUAGGUUUACAAAAAUAAAAACAUUUUCUGCAUGGUUGAUACGCCCAAAAGAGUUGGUGGAAUAUGCCAUUACCACUAACACAAGUCUCAUCUGCGGUAUACGCUGACAACGUUUCCAAAUUGACAAUAGUCCCUGGAGCAUAAUGCUUAAGUGCCACCAAGUAUUUUUGAAGUUCUUUGUAUGACUCCUCCCAAUUGCCAAACAUUUUUUCAACUACCUUAGUCCUAGUUAUCCAUGCAUUCCUGUAUGAUGGAGUAUAGUUGUAUUGUAUAACAAUAUGCGAGAUUAUUGUACUCACCUUUAACGAGGGAUUGUCGCUAAUGACAAAUAAAAUUUCAUCGAAUAUUAACUAAGAGUUGAGUUUCUGAUGGUCCUACAUUGGGUUCUUGAUUAAGUAAGUGUGAAUUGGACCCAUAAAACUUAUUUCCCAAGAAUCAUUCCUCUUCUGGUAAGAUGCUUACAAUCAAACAUGCAAAGCUCAUUAUGACAAUAGAUCUUAUACCUCGUUGCAUUAGUUCGAUCAACCCUAUAAUCAACUGAUAAUUCCAUGUGAUACUUUUUAGUGACUCUGACACAAUCUUCUUUUGUGCGAAAUUUGUCUCCUUCUUUCAAUGAUCCUUGAAUUUGCACAUAAGGAUUGUGAAAUAUAUAUGACGAAGGUUCACCUGCACCAAAAUUCAAGCUUGUCAUGUGUUGAGGUGGAUAAUAUACAUGGUAAUGGCUCUUGCUGGUGGUCGACAAUUUCAUCGUUCACCAUUUCAUCAACCAAUAACUCAUUUUCUUCUUCUUCCUCGUCAACAACAUCGACUUCAGCUUGUUCGUCGUCAUCAGUUUCACAAAACACUUAUGUCAGAUUAACAAAUUGAGACAAUUGAUUUUGUUGUGUUAGAAUAUAUAACUCAACAUCAUUGAACCCAAAUUAUUCAUGCCUGAGAAACAUAUGAUGAACAUCGUCAUCAUCUCGAAUCUUCAACUGAUAAAACUUAACUUAGUUUUCUGGAAAAAAACAUCGGAUUUUUGUAGAUGAUUUGUCCCACCUGACUACACUGCAAUUUCUUUUCUAUUCUUUGUUUCAAAUGUGAAAAUUUUGACUGUCUAUUGAUCGUUUUGACCAUCAGGUUAACCAUGAUGUUGUUGCAGUUUGGACAGUAAAAACACCAAUCCUCUGGUUCACUACCGUGAAGAUGCACCAGAGUGACCGUGUGAAACUACAGUUCAGCAUGCAACAACAAAUUACAAAACCUCCGACGUGUUUGGGAGAUUGGCAUCAACAAAGAGUCGAUGGCCAAUGGGAUUAUUCUAAUUGGAGAGACUUCGCAAAAGAAAUGUGUCAUCAUUGGAGGAAUCAACAUCAACACAUCUUAAACGAACCAAUCAUACAUGGUGCUAGACCAACUCAACAUUAUAUGGUAUGGUUUAGAUCGGUUACAACGCCACAAUUUGUGUCAGAACCAAGAUAUUUGAUUGAUCCACGCCAAUGAGCUUCGUCAACAUACGCCCAACAACAAAUCCCCGCCCAAAAACAAUGUCAACCCACACAAAUCCAACGACCAACCUCACACCAUCACCCUACCAUAUACACCUAACCACCAAACACCGAACCUCAUAACCAAUUCAUGUCACACACCCAAACUCAAAACCAGGAACCAAACCCUAGCCACCAACAACCAUACGCAGCCACCACAUCUGUCUAUAGCCCGUAUGGUUCAUACGAUUCAACCUCAUGCCAUCAUAGCCCCCCACUUAUGAACACUCAAACAUCCUAUCUCCACAACACCUAACCAUUGUUUGAGUUUAAUACACCACAAUAAUCAUUGUUUCGUUUCCAAAAAGAUUUAAUGUAAUUAGGGCAACCAUAACAUCCACAAACCACCCAACCACAACGACCCAACUACGACAACAUGGACACCGAACUCAAUUAUGGCAGUGUCGUUGGUGGCAACCCCUUAGCUAUUGGGGAGAAAUGAUGACAAAUUUGUCAAAUACCGCUGGACCUUCCACCAGACCUUCACACCAGCCAUCAUUGAAUCAUGUCAGCACUCAAAGACCCCAAACACCUUAGAGAAAUCAUGGGAGACCUCGAAGGCAGGCUAACACAUCGGGAUGUGGAACAGAGGGGGAUUUCAAUCGGAUGGGUCAUUGAUUUUUUUGUCAAUUGUUAUGUAUUUUUCAUUAGUUUUAUAUCAUAAUAUUAAUAAUUAUUUUUCAUUUACCUAUUUAUUUUAUUUAUUUUAAUUUUAUAUAAGUAUAACAUAUAUAUAUAUAUAUAAUAUAUAUUCAAAGCAUGCGCCACAUGCAAUGACGCAUACAUUUCAUUCAUAAAGUAUGUGUCAGUUGCAUUGACUUCAUCUUCAUGCAUGCAUCAUUGCUAUUGGCGUCUAAGUUCAAUGUGAACAUGCAUGCGCCAGUCCGACUGACACAUACUUUACAUGGAUACAUGAAAAAUGAUAAAAAAAAAUAUAACAAAAAUACACUAUUUAUAAUUUAAGGGAUAAAUACAAUUUUAAAAAAUGAUAAAUUGAAAAGUACUUCCUCCAUUUUAGAAGAGUGAACUAUUUGAAAUAAAUAAAUUUUAAAAAAUGAUUGAUUCAUUUCAAUUUUUAAUAUAGAUUUUUAAUUUUAUUUUAUAAUUAAUAUUAUUUUUUUUAUUUCCAAUACAUAAUAAAAGGUAAUUUAAUAAAAAUAUUUUUUUCCUUCUUAUUUAUUAUUUAUCUUAAUUAUUAUGAAUGGUCAAUUAGAUUGUGGGGGACAUAAUAGAUAACUUUAUAAUCACAAAACGAAAAUAUUUUGGAAUAUACCAUGACUUUUGUAGUACAAGGAUAGACAAAGAGUGGCAUAAUCGUAAAUUUACCUUUUAUAAUGUGGUCACCAUUCUAUUUCACGCAUUCCCUUCACAUCCUCAAAUUAAAGCUUUGUUUGGCUACUACUAUUUCCAUUGACCAUUAUACCCAAUCUCUGUACGGCACUAAUUCAUUUCAACGUGUUUUUGUUCUUUAUAAUUCUCCAACGCGGUGCCUUAACCUCUAACCGUAUAUUCCCAUAUACAUGCCACUUAUUUAACACUCUAACAGUAAUGAAAGUGAUUAUUACUGUACCACGUCACAACACCACAUCUGUUUGUUUCCACUUAAAAAGAUAAGAAAAUUAAAGAUAGCGAAUUAACCUAUAUUGGCGUAAGUUCAAAAGCAACAUCCAAAGUAGAAUCGAUUAUCUUUAAAUAGCAUCCGUAUACCACUCAUAACUCCACACACCACAUAGCUUAUUACUCUUCCUUUUCAUUCUCUCAAAUACACUUCAAGUUCAAGCCGCUAUUAUUAUUUAGAGCUUAGAAGUGCUUUUAAAGAUUAUUCAUUAAUUUGCAAAAGCACGUCAGAAAUAAUCAAUAACCACGGCAACUCUAAAUCCUAACAAAUCCACAUCCAUCUCAAACCAGUUGGAUAUCAGGUACAAAAAGACGCAGUUAUGGCAGAAGAAUCACAAAUUCAAACACAAACGACUAACAAGUCGAAAAACGGCGUCGUUUUGUUUGAGAAAUACGAAAUUGGAAGAUUGUUGGGAGUUGGUGCUUCAGCGAAGGUGUACCAGGCGACGAAUGUUGAAACGGGGAAGAACGUGGCGGUGAAAGUCAUGAACAAGAAGAAACUCGUCAAUGGAGGUUUCUCGGCAAACAUUGAGCGUGAGAUCUCAAUUCUCAGUCGCCUCCACCACCCUAACAUCAUCAACCUCUUCGAAGUGCUUGCGUCAAAGAACAAAAUCUACUUCAUUGUUGAAUUGGCCUCUGCCGGCGAGCUCUUCGAAGAGGUGGCUAAAAAAGACAAACUCACAGAAGAUCACGCUCGGAGAUACUUCCGGCAGCUUAUCUCCGCCGUGAAACACUGUCACUCUCACGGUGUUUUCCACCGGGAUCUCAAACUCGAUAAUCUCUUGCUAGACGAGAAUGAUAACCUUAAGGUAACGGAUUUCGGUUUAAGCGCUGUUAAAAACCAGAUCCGUCCUGACGGUUUACUUCACACCGUUUGUG